AGUGAACGCUGGCGGUAUGCCUAACACAUGCAAGUCGAACGGCAGCACAUUAAUAGCUUGCUCGUACGGGUUGCGAGUGGUGGACGGGUGAGGAAUACAUCGGAAUCUACUUUUUCGUGGUGUAUAACGUAGGGAAACCUACGCUAAUAUCGCAUACCACCUACGGGUGAAAGCAGGGGAUCUUCUUACCUUGCGCGAUUGAAUGAGACGAUGUCGGAUUAGCUAGUUGGCGGGGUAAAGGCAGAACAAGGCGACGAACCGUAGCUGGUAUGAGAGGAUGAUCAGCCACACUGGAACUGAGACACGGUCCAGACACCUAAGGGAGGAAGCAGUGGGGAAUAUUACACGAUGGACCCGAGCCUGAUACAGCAAUACCGCGUAAGUGCAGAAGGAGUUAGGGUUCUAAAGCCCAUUUGUAGGUAAAGAAAAAAAGCAGGUUAAUAACCCAAUAUUAUGACGGUACCCAAAGAAUAAGCUCCGGCUAAAUUCGUG
rnacentral:rRNA from 1 species